AAUCAACGCUGGCGGCGUGCCUAACACAUGCAAGUCGAACGAGAAGGUGACUUCGGUCACUGGAUAGUGGCGUCCGGGUGAGUAACACGUAGGUAAUCUACCUUCGGGUGGGGAAUAACGUCUCGAAAGAGACGCUAAUACCGCAUAAUGCAGCGGCACCUAAUGGUGAUUAGUUGUUAAAGCGGGGGAUCUUCGGACCUCGCGCCUGAAGAGGAGCCUGCGGCAGAUAGCUAGUUGGUGAGGUAAUGGCUCACCAAGGCUUCGAUCUGUAGCUGGUCUGAGAGGACGGCCAGCCACACUGGCACUGACACACGGGCCAGACUCCUACGGGAGGCAGCAGUGGGGAAUUUUGGGCAAUGGGCGAAAGCCUGACCCAGCAACGCCGCGUGAAGGAGGAAAUCUUCGGGAUGUAAACUUCAUAAGUAAGGGAAGAAAGACUGCGGAUCGAAUAAGUCCGCAGUCCGACGGUACCUUACGUAAGCCACGGCUAACUACGUGCCA
rnacentral:rRNA from 1 species